rnacentral:rRNA from 1 species
CCUGGCUUAGGAUGAACGCUGGCGGCGUGCUUAACACAUGCAAGUCGAACGAAGCACCUCUAAUCGAAGAUUGAGAAAGCUUGCUUUGAUGAUCACCUUGAGGUGACUGAGUGGCGGACGGGUGAGUAACGCGUGGGUAACCUACCCUAUACAGGGGGAUAACAGUUGGAAACGACUGCUAAUACCGCAUAAGCGCACAGGACCGCAUGGUCUAGUGUGAAAAACUCCGGUGGUAUAGGAUGGACCCGCGUCUGAUUAGCUAGUUGGUGAGGUAACGGCUCACCAAGGCGACGAUCAGUAGCCGACCUGAGAGGGUGACCGGCCACAUUGGGACUGAGACACGGCCCAAACUCCUACGGGAGGCAGCAGUGGGGAAUAUUGCACAAUGGGCGAAAGCCUGAUGCAGCGACGCCGCGUGAACGAAGAAGUAUUUCGGUAUGUAAAGUUCUAUCAGCAGGGAAGAAAAAUGACGGUACCUGACUAAGAAGCUCCGGCUAAAUACGUGCCAGCCGCAGC